rnacentral:rRNA from 1 species
AGAGAGAGACAUGCGCGCAUAUCAAUAAGCGGAGGAAAAGAAACUAACUAGGAUUCCCUCAGUAACGGCGAGUGAAGCGGGAAGAGCUCAAAUUUGAAAUCUUCAAGGUUCUACCUUGACGAAUUGUAGUUUAUAAGAAGUGUUUUCUGUUAGUGGAGUUGGCUAAAAGUUCUUUGGAAUAGGACAUCAUAGAGGGUGAGGAUCCCGUAUUUGACCAUUAUUUCCAACUUUGUGAUACACUUUCAAAGAGUCGGAUUGUUUGGGAAUGCAGUCCAAAAUGGGUGGUAAAUUUCAUCUAAAGCUAAAUAUUGGCGAGAGACCGAUAGCGAACAAGUACCGUGAGGGAAAGAUGAAAAGAACUUUGAAAAGAGAGUUAAACAGUACGUGAAAUUGUCAAAAGGGAAGCGUUUGACACCAGUGUUGUUUUCUCGAAAAUCAAUUAAAAAUGGUAGGAUUUUGUGUUGUAUUGACUUUAUCAGCUUUCUGCACUUUUUUCCUAUCUUUUUUAAUGCACUUUUCGUUUAACAAGUCAACAUCGAUUUCUUUUGUUGUAAAAGAGUCAUUGGAAGGUGGCUUUCUUUUCGGAGAAAGUGUUUAUAGCCUUUGGACUUCUGCAAUCGGAGAGAUUGAGGUCUGCAGCGUAGAUCCUUCGGGGUUAGAUGCAUUUGUGCUAAGCUAUAGCCUUUCACUAGACAACUUGUUGACUAUGAUCAGUCAUGUAGCUUACUCGCUUAUGUCAUUUUACCUACGCUUAGGAUGUUGACAGCAGUAUAGACUGU